CUUCAUUCUAAGAUCAACACUUCUCGUACUCAGGUCAACCUUGCUAAUUGAAAUCUAAGAUAUAACUCGUCAAUUCUAUUAUAGACAUCAUAUACCACUUAUGCAUAAAUUUCAUCAUAAUACCUAUUGAUUCAAAAUCAAAUUAUUGAAUCCUUUCUUUUAUAUCUAUCAUGUUCCUCAUGAUCUUAGCCUCAAGUUCAAAUAUCACUAAAGUCACAAUCCCGAAUAAUAAUAACCUUAAGUUCAAAUAUCACUUAAGUCAUAUUCUCUAGUGAUCAUAAUCUAAACUUUAUAUCAUUCUAUCACGUCCUUAAUGAUCAUAAUCUUAAGCUCUUGAUAUUAUCCAUUAUACUCCACUCGAUCACAUCCUAUUGAUCAUACAUAAAAUUUUGAUAUCACUUUAUAAUCUUAAUGAUCUUAAACCUAAGCUCUGAUAUUAUUCUAUCAUAUCCUAUUCAUUUAUAUCAUUUAUAUCAUAAUCCCCAAUGAUU
rnacentral:lncRNA from 1 species